AUUGAACGCUGGCGGCAUGCUUUACACAUGCAAGUCGAACGGCAGCGCGGGCUUCGGCCUGGCGGCGAGUGGCGAACGGGUGAGUAAUGCAUCGGAACGUGCCCAGUAGUGGGGGAUAGCCCGGCGAAAGCCGGAUUAAUACCGCAUACGACCUGAGGGUGAAAGCGGGGGACCGAUAGGCCUCGCGCUAUUGGAGCGGCCGAUGUCGGAUUAGCUAGUUGGUGGGGUAAAGGCUUACCAAGGCGACGAUCCGUAGCUGGUCUGAGAGGACGACCAGCCACACUGGGACUGAGACACGGCCCAGACUCCUACGGGAGGCAGCAGUGGGGAAUUUUGGACAAUGGGGGCAACCCUGAUCCAGCCAUGCCGCGUGCGAGAAGAAGGCCUUCGGGUUGUAAACCGCUUUUGUUCGGGAAGAAAUCCUCUGGGCUAAUACCCCGGGGGGAUGACGGUACCGGAAGAAUAAGCACCGGCUAACUACGUG
rnacentral:rRNA from 1 species